rnacentral:rRNA from 1 species
AUUGAACGCUGGCGGCAGGCCUAACACAUGCAAGUCGAGCGGAGCGGCGGACGGGUGAGUAAUGCCUAGGAAUCUGCCUGGGAGUGGGGGAGAACGUCCGGAAACGGGAGCUAAUGCCACAUACUAUAAGAGAAGCCUAGGUCGGAUUAGCUGGUUGGUGGGGUAAAGGCCUACCAAGGCGACGAUCCGGAAAUGGUCUGAGAGGAUGAGCAGUCACACUGGAACUGAGACACGGUCCAGACUCCUACGGGAGGCAGCAGUGGGGAAUAUUGGACAAUGGGCGAAAGCCUGAUCCAGCCAUGCCGCGUGUGUGAAGAAGGUCUUCGGAUUGUAAAGCACUUUAAGUUGGGAGGCGUUACCAACAGAAUAAGCACCGGCUAACUUCGUGCCAGCAGCCGCGGUAAUAC